CCCUUAGAUGUUCUGGGCAGCACGCGCGCUACAAUGGUCUUCGCAAACGGAUGCAUUCUCGAAGGAGAAUGCCAAUCUUGGAAUCUAUGCCUUGGUCGGGACAGUUGCUUGCAAUUUUUCGACUCGAACCAGGAAUUCCUUGUAAUCGUGAUUCAUCACAUCACGAUGAAUACGUCCCUGCCCUUUGUACACACCGCCCGUCGCUCCUACCGAUCGAAGAGUUAGGUGAAUUGUUUUGAUCGAUAAGAUUUGACUAUGGUCAACUCUCGUCGUGAAAUUCUGUGAAUCUGACUGUUUAGAGGAAGGAAAAGUCGUAACA
rnacentral:rRNA from 1 species